rnacentral:rRNA from 1 species
AGAGUUUGAUCCUGGCUCAGGAUGAACGCUGGCGGUGUGCUUAACACAUGCAAGUCGAACGAGGUUUAUUAGGACUUGUCUUGAUAAACUGCAGUGGCGGACGGGUGCGUAACGCGUAAGAACUUACCUUUUGGAGGGGGAUAACAAUGGGAAACUGUUGCUAAUACCCCAUAAUGCUGAGGAGCUAAAGGUGAAUAACCACCAAGAGAGAGGCUUGCGUCUGAUUAGCUAGUUGGUGGGGGUAAAGGCCUCCCAAGGCGACGAUCAGUAGCUGGUCUGAGAGGAUGAUCAGCCACACUGGGACUGAGACACGGCCCAGACUCCUACGGGAGGCAGCAGUGAGGAAUUUUCCACAAUGGGCGAAAGCCUGAUGGAGCAAUACCGCGUGGAGGAAGACGGAUCGUGGUCUGUAAACUCCUUUUCUCAGAGAAGAAU